AACGAACGCUGGCGGCAGGCUUAACACAUGCAAGUCGAACGCCCCGCAAGGGGAGUGGCGCACGGGUGAGUACCGCGUGGAUAUCUGCCUUUUGGUUCGGAAUAACCCCGGGAAACUGGGGCUAAUACCGGAUGGUUCCUACGGGAUAAAGAUUUAUCGCCAAAAGAUGAGUCCGCGUACGAUUAGCUAGUUGGUGAGGUAAUGGCUCACCAAGGCGACGAUCGUUAGCUGGUCUGAGAGGACGAUCAGCCACACUGGGACUGAGACACGGCCCAGACUCCUACGGGAGGCAGCAGUGGGGAAUAUUGGACAAUGGGGGCAACCCUGAUCCAGCCAUGCCGCGUGAGUGAUGAAGGCCUUCGGGUUGUAAAGCUCUUUUGGCGGGGACGAUGAUGACGGUACCCGCAGAAUAAGCCCCGGCUAACUUCGUG
rnacentral:rRNA from 1 species